rnacentral:SRP_RNA from 1 species
CCGUGCUAGACGGGGAGGUAGCGGUGCCCUGUAACUCGCAAUCCGCUACAGCGGGGUUGAAUUCCUGGGCCGAGGCUGUAUCCUUGUGAGGUCCGGCUUGAGUAAGUGGCGUUGAAGUUUGGGUCCUUCGCAAUGGUACGCUCUGAACCGUGUCAGGUCCGGAAGGAAGCAGCACUAAGGGGUUAUCACCAUGUGACGAGGGGGAGCCUGAAUGGAGUUAACUGCUUCAGGCAGCGCUCGGAAGGUGCAGUCGGAGCCAGGUGCACGG